UGGGCCGUAGCUCAACCGGGCAGAGCACCGCACUGUGAAUGCGGCCGUUGAGGGUUCAACUCCCUUCGGCCCACCCA
rnacentral:tRNA from 1 species